GGACCCGUAGUUCAACUGGAUAGAAUGUCGCCCUCCGAAGGCGAAGGUUGGAGGUUCGAAUCCUCUCGGGUCCGCCA
rnacentral:tRNA from 1 species